rnacentral:lncRNA from 1 species
CCACCAACUUUCUCAACUUCCACUUCUCCAUCAACUCUAGUUUGUGCUUGUUCAACUCUAUGACCCUCUUCCUCCAUGACAGCCUCAACUUCUACUUCCUCCAUGACANCCAUCUCUUCUUCUUCACCACCCANCUCUUCCAACACACCACCAACUUCUUCAACACCAUGAACCUCUUCCUCCAUAACAGUCUCAACUUCCACUUGUUCUUCAUCAUCAUCAACACCCAUAACCAUAUGUAUGACUUC